rnacentral:rRNA from 1 species
CAGCAGCCGCGGGAAUACGUAGGGUGCAAGCGUUAAUCGGAAUUACUGGGCGUAAAGCGUGCGCAGGCGGUUAUAUAAGACAGAUGUGAAAUCCCCGGGCUCAACCUGGGAACUGCAUUUGUGACUGUAUAGCUAGAGUACGGCAGAGGGGGAUGGAAUUCCGCGUGUAGCAGUGAAAUGCGUAGAUAUGCGGAGGAACACCGAUGGCGAAGGCAAUCCCCUGGGCCUGUACUGACGCUCAUGCACGAAAGCGUGGGGAGCAAACAGGAUUAGAUACCCGCGUAGUCCCUGUCUCUUAUCC